rnacentral:rRNA from 1 species
UAUUAAAUAGUGGAGAGCAUUAUGGAUCUUCCAAACAGGGUUUACCAAUUAUAAUAUAAAUUGGAAACCACACUCAGAGCUGUAGCUCUGCAAAAUUGGAUAUCCAGGUGAGUUAACAUUUUAACAAGAUCUGUUGUCUUGUGUUAACAAGCUCCACGGGCGAGUAACAACAUAGAACACUAAAAACUUCUAUGACUCGCCUCCAUUAUUUAGUACGAAAAAUUUGUACAUAAAGUUUGUGAUCGGUGUAGUAAGAUGAUGACGUCAUUUAUUUAUAGAUGAGAAAAGUUACAAAAUAUUUUAUUAGCAGAAUCUGCUGGGAAGCAGAACCCUAGUGGGUAAUAGUCCCGUAAGUGAAAAUAAAAUAUCUUUUCCGUUAUUAUUCUUGAGUACCUCAGGACACGAAAAGCUUGAGGGAAUCUGCCGGAACUAACCGGUAAGGCUAAAUAUUGUUAGAGAUCGAUAGUGAACUAGUACCGUGAGNNGAGGGAAAGGUGAAAAGCAGCCCGGUGAGGGCAGUGAAAUAGACCUGAAACCGUACGCCUACAAGGAGUCGGAGCGGGCAGCACAAGCCAGUGAAAAGUCCAAAGUCCAUAAAGUCUAAAGGAAUGCAAUAGCAUUUACUUUCGACUUUCGACUUUAUAACUUUUGACUUGUUUGUGCUGUCCGUCACGGCGUGCCUAUUGAAGAAUGAGCCAACGAGUUGAUGUGUGAAGCAGGCUAAGCCCUUUGCCGGGUGGAGCCACAGGGAAACCGAGUAUGAAUAGUGCGUUUGUUUUACACAUCAGACCCGAAACGAGAGCGAGCUAAUCUUGAGCAGGAUGAACCUUUGAGAAAUCAGAGGGGAGGUCCGAACCAGUGAUCCGUUCAAUAAUCUUGGAUGACUUGAGAUUUGAAGUGAAAAGCUAAUCGAGCCUCGUAAUAGCUGGUUCUCUCCGAAAUAGCUUUUGGGCUAGCGUUUAACGUACCUUCCGGGGGUAGAGCACUGGAAGGUCUUGACAGAUAGAAAUAUCGCAAGACCUAUCAAACUCCGAAUACCGUGAAGUAAAUUAUUAAGCAGUUAGACUGUGGAGGCUAAGCCCCAUGGUCAAAAGGGAAACAGCCCGCACCUAUAUUUAAGGUCCCUAAAUUCAUGUUAAGUACACUUAAGGUUGUAAUUUUUCUCAGACAGUAAGGAGGUUGGCUUAGAGGCAGCCAUCCUUUAAAGAUAGCGUAACAGCUCACUUACUAAGAGAUUUUGCGCCGCAGAUUAUCGGGGUUAAACAUGAUACCGAAACUUAGGACUAUGAAUGUCUUCGGACAUUUAUAUUGGUAGGAGAGUAUUCAACUCUGCGAUGAAGCCAAAGGGGUGACCCAUGGUGGAGCGUGUUGAAGUAAGAAUGUUGGCACAAGUAACCACAAUGUGGGUGAGAACCCCACACACCGAAAAACCAAGGUUUCCUUCGCGAUGACAAUCAGCGAAGGGUUAGUCGGCCCUAAGUGGAUGGCGAUAGCCGCACACGAUUGGACACAUGGUUAAUAUUCCAUGACCUUUAUAUAUUGCGAUGGGAGGACGAAGAUUAGUAUGAUAAGCGCAUCAUUGGAUUUGCGUUUGUGGCAUAAUUGCGAGUUCCAGGUAAAUCCGGAAUUCUUUCUUUAAUGAUAAGCGAAAUUGCAGCAUAAACAUUACGGUUCGCCGUGGUGGAUUUAUCAAAGCAAACUUCCGAGAAAAGUCUCUAAGCAUAAAUAUGUAAAGACCGUACCGUAAUCCGACACAGGUGGUUAGCUCGAGUAGAGUAAGGUGAACGAGUGAUAGAUCUUCAAGGAACUCGGCAAAAAAGCAGCCGUAAGUUAGCGAUAAGGCUUGCCCAAAUUUAUUUGGGCAGCAUCAAAAGCAUCCCUGCCAACUGUUUAUCAAAAACACAGCUUCCUGCGAAGUCGUAAGACGAUGUAUAGGAGGUGACACUUGACCAAUGCCAGAAGGUCAACCAACGACGUUGUUAUCCGCAAGGGUAAUGGUGAUUGUUGUAAGCCCUGGUGAAUGUCGGCCGUAACUAUAACGGUCCUAAGGUUCUGGAACUUUCGCAAGAAAGUUUCAGAAGGACUAGGACUGUUGCAAAUUUAUGGCCUUGAUAAAUGAAUUAGCAUUACACAAAAUAAGUAGCUACCUAAUGCAAAGUAAUUUGCACUUAGUCCGCCACAUGGUUAACAAGAGACCAACGCCAUGGAUCCUACGAAAAAAUUUUAAUUAAUUUUUUAGGGAUUAAGAUAGAGUCCAACGUUUGAGGAAUGGUUGAGCGAAAUUCCUUGUCUGGUAAGU